rnacentral:rRNA from 1 species
UACGGAGGGUGCAAACGUUGCUCGGAAUCAUUGGGCGUAAAGCGCACGUAGGCGGUCCUGCAAGUCGGAUGUGAAAGCCCUCGGCUCAACCGAGGAAGUGCAUUCGAAACUGCCGGACUUGAAUAUGGAAGAGGGUCGCGGAAUUCCCGGUGUAGAGGUGAAAUUCGUAGAUAUCGGGAGGAACACCAGUGGCGAAGGCGGCGAUCUGGGAAGAUACUGACGCUGAGGUGCGAAAGCGUGGGGAGCAAACAGG